CACGUAUUACCUCCCUUAUAUUAGCUAGCGACUCGCACUCAAACACACCCUACACCUAUACGCACGCAUCUAUAGUUCUGAUGUUGCGUUAUUCUCAGUGAUACUCUGUUUAUGCCCUGGCCUGCUCCGGCCGGGGUUAGCUCAAACACUAAUGUAAAUUGUAACAUUUUUUUCACAAGGUUAUUUUUUAGGUCUAUGCCAUUCAGAUAUUUGAUUCGAUGUACAACUUUGACUAUUUUAUAGUAUGUACGAACGAGCGUUUGAAACGGAAUCGCUACAGCAAUGACUUUGUCUUCUCCAUAUUUCCAUAUGUGUGGGGUGGGGUAGGGUAGUAAAAAAAGAUAUCCAUGGCACAAGAAAGUUAUUCAAAGUAUCUAUCAUUUAUCUAUUAACUCUAAUGCUGCAUUGAUAUUUCGAACUCUUAUCAUUUCUUUUCACUACCAUCCGACUUCACACAGCAUCCUCUCCACCUUCAGGUUCCAUAGCAACUGUCGCAGGAAGCGCUGUUGGUGCUAUUGUUGUGAUUGUUAUCGUAAUAAUUCUCAUCAUCUUUUACAAGCGAAGAAGCGAUGAAUCAGCCACUACUAAGUCUGAAGGAAAGGAGUCCGAUUCGUCUCCGCAGUAUGAGAACCCUGUAUUUGAUCCGUCAAAGACAGAAGUUCAUACCUACCAAGACCUGAAUACCGACCCUAAUACCUACCAAGAUAUCGGUACCGAUGGUAAUACCUAUCAGGAUCUGAAGGAACCUGAUCAAGAAGCUAACUACGAAGCAUUGAAUGACGCCAACGUACCAGGCAUUUAAACAAUACUAUAAUGAAACACUAAACAAGGUCUUAAUGUGCUGGUUAAGAUAUUUUUUUUUAAUUUUAAUUUGUUGCAUAUAUAUGUCGGUGUAUCAAUCAUUCUGUGAAGAUGCCUUUAAAACUUAUCGUGAAAUAUUAAAGUUUAUCUUAAUAACUGAAAGAAAAGCUAUGCUGAUGAACUUGGGCGUUUCCUUUCAUGUACCCAAUCAGGAUACCAUGACGAAAAGUUGUCAAAACCUAUCAUAGCUUUUUUCUUCUUCGUCCCGUGCUCCUCUUUUUAUGUUAUCAUUUACCAUGUCUAUUCGCAUUAUUCCAAAAUCUUUUGAUAUUGGGGAUCAGUUGAAAUACCAUGAUUAACACAUGUCUGAUGAAUUUGGGUAAAAUAGUUGUUGACAUUAGGUCACACCACUACAUGAAAGUCAGGGUAUGGGAUUAUAGUUUCUUUAAAUGGAUAUAUAUAGUUAUCUUCUUUCACUGAAGUUUGUUUCCUACUGUCGUUUUCUGAAUAAUGUAAAUGAUGUAUACAAAAAACAUGAAUCUUACAUCAUGGAGCACCAAAAUAUAUUUCUAUUUUUUAAAUUGUAUUUUACGAUUUUAGUUUGAAUGAUUCAAUGCAGGUGCAAAUUGUAUGGGAAAAUGUAUUGAGUCAUGUAUAUAUACGUAUGCCAUAAAGUACGAAUGCAUAUUCCAUCAUGUUAAUCGUGUUUUGAGAUAUCAGUAGGACAAUAUAAUAUUCGACUGUACUUUUUAUCUGUAUUGAUCACUAAUGUUAUUGCCUGUUAUUGCUGGUGGAAAACAUAAUUAACACAUUCUUGUACAAGAAUUAAUAGAUAAUUAAUUGUUAUUAUUAUCAUAGUUAUUGUUAUUAUUACUACGACUACGACUACUAAGCAGUGAAAUUCAUGUUGGUUAAUAUGUCGACGCGAACGUGUAAGGAUGUCAACGAUUAAAUAUGAAAAUAUAAGUUUUGAAUAUAGACAUAGACUAUGCAUAAUAAAAUAAACUUGUAUUGUAUUGUAUUUAUUAAGCGUUAUUGAUGUACAUUAAUAAUCUUUUUAUAGACAUAUAAAUCAUAUAAACCAGUUUACAAUGCAACGUAGCAAAUCAAUUUUCUGUUUGUAAACAUAUAUAUCAUAUAAAUCAAUUUACAAUGCAGUGUAGCAUUGUAUUAUGUAAGGCUGUAUAUUUAAGUAAAGAUUAGAUAGUAGCAUUAAAAGUUAAUUAAAGUUAGAUAAUGCAAUCCAAGUGGAUGUAUAAACAUAAUUAUGAGCAGGGGAUUUCGGGGCACAUAUUAAAUGUGAAUACUGAUAGAUAUACUUAUAAAAUGCACAAUAUGUAAACAUGAAAGUAGUAUGACAAUAAAGAAUACCAAAAGAAA